UCCAGGGUAGCCUAGUGGUCAUGGCAUCUGCCCGGUAAGCGGAAGGUCGUGGGUUCGAUUUCCAUCCUUUGAAA